rnacentral:misc_RNA from 1 species
GACACCACUGGCCCCUCUUCUCCUUUGGAUUCUUCCGGAGGGGUCGCGGCGGCGGACUCUGAGUGUUCCGGAGUUCCCAUGCUCCGAGUGCACCUAAUCUCGUGAACGAAGCCUCUCGCGCCCUGCCGCACAGAGUUGUUGACGGCGCUCGCUUCGGCGGCGACUCUCGACUCACCAAACGUGCGCAGGCUGCCUGCCUCAUUCCGGCGCUCCCGACGACGACGACGCCGCCGACCCCGUCAAAAAGGGUCUGCAGAUAGAUGUCGUUGGGAAACCGUACCACUUUCG